rnacentral:rRNA from 1 species
UACGGAGGGGGCUAGCGUUGUUCGGAAUUACUGGGCGUAAAGCGCACGUAGGCGGCUUUGUAAGUUAGAGGUGAAAGCCCGGGGCUCAACCCCGGAAUUGCCUUUAAGACUGCAUCGCUAGAAUUGUGGAGAGGUAAGUGGAAUUCCGAGUGUAGAGGUGAAAUUCGUAGAUAUUCGGAAGAACACCAGUGGCGAAGGCGGCUCACGGGCCCGGUACUGACGCUGAGGUGCGAAAGCGUGGGGAGCAAACAGG